ensembl:misc_RNA 7SK 7SK RNA
GGAUGUGAAGGCAAGCUGGCUGUGACACCUGUCACUGCAUUCAUCUCCAGGGUUGAUCUCAGCUGAUCCUGCAGGUUAGGCAGAUGUCCACCCCCCCCCCACUGCUCCAUGGUACAUCAGAAGCUGGGCACCUGGUCAAAGAUGACCUUCUCCCUCCCAUGAAGGGUGUCUUAGCCGCUGUGCCACCAAGCAAGCUCUCAAAGGUGAAUGGCACCGAGCCCGGUGUCUUAGUCACCGUUCUAAUGCUCUGAAGAGACACCACAACCCAGUCGGCCUUAUAAAAGAAAGCAUCUAACUGGGGGCUUGCCUAGUUU